AGAGUCCAGCAAGGAGGGCUGGGAUUCACACUGAGCACGUGUGUCUGCCCAGGCUUGGGCUGUUUUCUGGGAUGGACUACCUGAAAUUCAUCACGGAAGGAGGCAGAGCAUCCCUGCCACUGGUGUCUGAUCUUCCCUGGGGACUUCAGUCCCUGGCAGUAGCAAUCUUUGCAUGUACACUCAGAGAGCUGCCCCAAUAUACGACAAAGAUCAAUGAAUAUUGACCAUAAUUCAAGGCUAACAACAAAGUAGCUUUGGAAACAUAUGAACUCAAAAUUAUACACUAUUUAAAUCUUAAAAAAGACUCAGAUACCCUGACUCUGAAGAUUUCUGCACCUAGAUAAGUAGGAAUGAAAAGAAACAGGGCUGGACAAACAAACCAGAAAGUAAGUAUGUGCCUUGGGCAAAUUGUGAACUUGAAGGAGUUGAGGUCCAAAAGAAGUAUAGAUGUGGACCUAGGCCUAUUCCUAACUCAUGAGGAGGCCUGGGCCAAAACAAGAAGUGAUGUGGGCCUGGGCCUAUCCCCAACCCUUGAAGAG
rnacentral:lncRNA from 1 species